rnacentral:rRNA from 1 species
AUUGAACGCUGGCGGCAUGCCUUACACAUGCAAGUCGAACGGCAGCACGGGAGCAAUCCUGGUGGCGAGUGGCGAACGGGUGAGUAAUACAUCGGAACGUGUCCAGUAGUGGGGGAUAGCCCGGCGAAAGCCGGAUUAAUACCGCAUACGACCCACGGGUGAAAGCGGGGGAUCGCAAGACCUCGCGCUAUCGGAGCGGCCGAUGUCAGAUUAGCUAGUUGGGGGGUAAAGGCCUACCAAGGCGACGAUCUGUAGCUGGUCUGAGAGGACGACCAGCCACACUGGGACUGAGACACGGCCCAGACUCCUACGGGAGGCAGCAGUGGGGAAUUUUGGACAAUGGCGCAAGCCUGAUCCAGCCAUGCCGCGUGCGGGAAGAGGGCCU